rnacentral:rRNA from 1 species
CCCAUACAAUCUUGCUAGCGCAUGCUAGAAAGAUAAAAGCUCCGGCGGUGUAAAAUGAGCGUGCGUCCUAUUAGCUAGUUGGAGAGGUAAUGGCUCACCAAGGCUACGAUGGGUAGGGGUUCUUAGUGGAAGGUCCCCCACACUGGCACUGAGAUACGGGCCAGACUCCUACGGGAGGCAGCAGUAGGGAAUAUUGGUCAAUGGGCGCAAGCCUGAACCAGCCAUGCCGCGUGCAGGAUGAAGGCUCUCUGAGUUGUAAACUGCUUUUGUACAGGAGCAAAAAAGCCCCUGCGGGGGCUCUUGAGAGUACUGUAAGAAUAAGCACCGGCUAAUUCCGUGCCAGCAGCCGCGGUAAUACGGAAGGUGCAAGCGUUAUCCGGUUUUAUUGGGUUUAAAGGGUGCGUAGGCGGCUUAUUAAGUCAGUUGUGAAAUCCUAGUGCUUAACGCUAGAACUGCGAUUGAUACUAUUAGGCUUGAGUUAAGAAGAGGUAGGCAGAAUUUAUGGUGUAGUAGUGAAAUGCUUAGAUAUCAUAAGGAAUACCAAUAGCGUAGGCAGCUUACUGGUCUUUAACUGACGCUGAGGCACGAAAGCGUGGGGAGCAAACAGGAUUAGAUACCCUGGUAGUCCACGCCGUAAACAAUGAUCACUCGAUAUACAUGAAACUUCGUGUGUGUCUAAGCGAAAGCGUUAAGUGAUCCACCUGGGGAGUAUACUCGCAAGGGUGAAACUCAAAGGAAUUGACGGGGGUCCGCACAAGCGGUGGAGUAUGUGGUUUAAUUCGAUAAUACGCGAGGAACCUUACCUGGGCUAGAAUGUAUUUUGACACCUUGAG